rnacentral:tRNA from 1 species
GUUAAAGAGGCAGAAAAUGGCCAUGCGAAAGGUCUAAGCCCUUUCAUUUAGAGGUUCAAAUCCUCUCUCUAACU